rnacentral:rRNA from 1 species
UACGGGGGGGGCAAGCGUUGUCCGGAUUUACUGGGCGUAAAGAGCGCGCAGGCGGCUGGUCAAGUCCGAUGUGAAAGCUCCCGGCUUAACUGGGAAACGGCAUCGGAAACUGAUCGGCUUGAAGGUGGGAGAGGGUAGUGGAAUUCCCGGUGUAGUGGUGAAAUGCGUAGAGAUGUGGAGGAACACCAGUGGCGAAGGCGACUCUUUGGCCUGUAACUGACGCUGAGGCGCGAAAGCGUGGGGAGCAAACAGG